GAUGAACGCUGGCGGCGUGCCUAAUACAUGCAAGUCGAGCGAACAGACGAGGAGCUUGCUCCUCUGACGUUAGCGGCGGACGGGUGAGUAACACGUGGAUAACCUACCUAUAAGACUGGGAUAACUUCGGGAAACCGGAGCUAAUACCGGAUAAUAUAUUGAACCGCAUGGUUCAAUAGUGAAAGGCGGUUUUGCUGUCACUUAUAGAUGGAUCCGCGCCGCAUUAGCUAGUUGGUAAGGUAACGGCUUACCAAGGCAACGAUGCGUAGCCGACCUGAGAGGGUGAUCGGCCAAACUGGAACUGAGACACGGUCCAGACUCCUACGGGAGGCAGCAGUAGGGAAUCUUCCGCAAUGGGCGAAAGCCUGACGGAGCAACGCCGCGUGAGUGAUGAAGGUCUUCGGAUCGUAAAACUCUGUUAUUAGGGAAGAACAAAUGUGUAAGUAACUAUGCACGUCUUGACGGUACCUAAUCAGAAAGCCACGGCUAACUACGUG
rnacentral:rRNA from 1 species